rnacentral:rRNA from 1 species
GAUGAACGCUGGCGGCGUGCCUAAUACAUGCAAGUCGAGCGAACAGACGAGGAGCUUGCUCCUCUGACGUUAGCGGCGGACGGGUGAGUAACACGUGGAUAACCUACCUAUAAGACUGGGAUAACUUCGGGAAACCGGAGCUAAUACCGGAUAAUAUAUUGAACCGCAUGUUUCAUUAGUGACAGACGGUUUUGCUGUCACUUAUAGAUGGAUCCGCGCCGCAUUAGCUAGUUGGUAAGGUAACGCCUUACCAAGGCAACGAUGCGUAGCCGACCUGAGAGGAUGAUCGGCCACACUGGAACUGAGACACGGUCCAGACUCCUACGGGAGGCAGCAGUAGGGAAUCUUCCGCAAUGGGCGAAAGCCUGACGGAGCAACGCCGCGUGAGUGAUGAAGGUCUUCGGAUCGUAAAACUCUGUUAUUAGGGAAGAACAAAUGUGUAAGUAACUAUGCACGUCUUGACGGUACCUAAUCAGAAAGCCACGGCUAACUACGUG